UUAAUGUGCAGUGCCGAUGGCAGAUGCAGUAGAAAAAUGCUGCAAGUGGCAUAUGCCUAUAUUAAAAUAGCAGUGUCACCAGCAGCCCUGCGAGUGUUUGUCAGCAUUUGGGGAUGGGACCAUGCUGGUUGUAUGGAGCAAACAUGUUUUAGAAGGUGCUGCCUCUUGUCUCUGUGUGGUGCUAAGCUACAAAGUAGGAUGACUUCCCAUCACCUGUGGAUGGUCUGCUCAUUCCAGCUGCAAAGCAGAGUGGCUGAUGGAGAGCUCUUCAUCAAUCACUUGAGCACAAGGAAGUGUGGGAAAUGCUGUUUUCUCCUGCUUCUAAGGAGGGACAGAUUUUUUUUAGCUUGCAUUUCUAAAGCACCUAAAGCUGAUGUUGUGUAGUAUGGUAUGUAAAUAACAAGAGUGAACUAGGAAUGAGUCCUUAUAGGGUGAGCUAUAGCCUGAGCUACAGAAAAUAUUUCUGUUUUCUGGAUGUGAAAACCCUGCUGGGUCACACAGUUCAUGAAGCUGGGCAGAAUUAUCACCGUGAGGUCUACAGUGUUGCAGAGCCCACAGGAAAUCUCCUUCGAUGCUGUCCUUUGUGGCUGCUGGGUGCUCUCAGAUAUAACCAGCUGCUAAUACCAGGACAGCAGCCACCAGCCUUCUUCAGGAGAAUCAAGUGCUCCCUUGUUGUUCCAUCUCUACAGGGGCAGUCUGGUGCACUGGACAGUGAUAUAACUUGUGCCUUCACUUUCUGUAUGUGGAGGAUUCUGCAAAUGAAGAAAAAAAGGUUUCAUGUGGCUGCGGAGACCCACCUCUUCCAGAGGAGAAUGAGCUUUUCUGGCUAUAAAACACUUUGCAGCAAGCUAAUGUGGCUGUAUAUCUGGACAAUCCAAUCUGCUUUUGCCAGUGCAAUCAGUGCGGGUGUGAGUUACGGGCACAGGAGAGCACAGCUGUCCAUGUGGGGCUGGGAUUGACGAGUGGUGUGCUGCCGCACACGGAGUGGGUGGAGAUGAAAUGUCUGGAGGAGCCUUUCCUCGUGCUUUGUCCCGUACCACCAGCACUGAAGCUGUUGAGGAUCAUCAUACCUCCACGAUGAGUGGCGAUGGCAGGGGCUGCGCAGUCCCUGCACAGUGUGCAUGUGUUGGGCGAAGGGCACUGCCAGCAAAGCUGUCCUGCACCAGUGCAAGUGGCCUUGCUGAGCCCCUGACGUUUGCAGGAGAACUCCUUUAUUCACUCCUUUAUUCCUCCAGCAUACGCAUGCCAGGAGUGGAUGUGAACCAGGAUCCAAUGAAAAUCCUAGGAUUUGUCUUCUAGGCCACGCUUUGGAGGUGGUAUUUCUUUUAAUCCAGCUCAGUUUUAAAUAUUGCCAUGAAGAGUUAUAAAUGACUGUACUAAUUUACACUGAGAUCUUUUGGCUGCUUGAUGAAGAAAUUAUACCAGCUCAGCGUGGGUCUGACUUUACGUCUGUGUUAACAAUGUUACAGGCGCAUGGCCUCAGUCUGAUUCAUUCCUAAUGAGAUUUUGAAGUUCACACUAUAAAAAUGUUCUGUCAAUUAAGUCAGAAAUUCAGAGCAACAUAUUUACUUCAGCUAACAGUAUGUCCUUUCAGUGCAAGGAUCUCAAUGAUUACAGCAGUGUUUUCUAGUUCCAGCCUCAUCAAAGUCCAAUAAAAUAUUCUCAUUGUAAUACA
rnacentral:lncRNA from 1 species